CACGUAGGGGGCGAGCGUUGUCCGGAGUUACUGGGCGUAAAGCGCACGCAGGCGGUCUGCUAAGUUUGGAGUGACAGUUGGUGGCUUAACUGCCAAAGUGCUUCGAAAACUGACAGACUUGAGGGCUUCAGAGGGACACGGAAUUCCGGGUGGAGUGGUGAAAUGCGUAGAGAUCCGGAGGAACACCAGAGGCGAAGGCGGCUACCUGGACAAUUGCUGACGCUCAGGCACGAAAGCGUGGGGAGCAAAAGGG
rnacentral:rRNA from 1 species